rnacentral:sRNA from 1 species
UCACAAUAAAAUUCAUUAUUUAAACAAUUGUUAAUCUGUUUGUAUUAUUUUAUGUAAUAUGUUUAGAUAAUAGAUUUCAAAAGGUAUGAGACAAGGGAAGUAUACAAAGUAGGAACAUGUAAAAUGAACAUUUUAACCUCCCCCCUUUUUUUUUCAAACAAAACAAAAUAAUGUUGAGUAAUCUACCUUAGUUUGCUUUUUCCACCUGUGUCUCUCCACUCAAAGAAAAGCAAAAGUGCUCUUGGUAGUAUUCCUGUUUAUUUGAACUAUUACACCAGAAUUGAAACGAGAAGUUCUAGGUAAUAUAUGAUGCUAGAAAGCUACAAUCAACCAGACAAAUGACAUUACAAAUAAAAUAGAGGAUAGGAUGGAAAAGGUCAAAGGUUAUUGCUAGCAAAAAAAAAUAUCUGAACUGUUACAUGCACAUUACAUGAUCUAAGUUAUACUUGCAAAGACCUUCCUACAAGGUACAGUACCAAAGAACAUGUAGAUUCCUUCCUACAAGGUACAGUACCAAAGAAAAUGUAGAGCCCUUCCUACAAGGUACAGUACCAAAGAACAUGUAGAGCCCUUCCUACAAGGUACAGUACCAAAGAAAAUGUAGAGCCAUUCCUACAAGAUACAGUGCCAAAGAACAUGUAGAGCCAUUCCUACAAGAUACAGUGUCAAAGAACAUGUAGAGCCAUUCCUACAAGAUACAGUGCCAAAGAACAUGUAGAGCCAUUCCUACAAGAUACAGUGCCAAAGAACAUGUAGAGCCCUUCCUACAAGGUAUGGUUCCAAAGAAAAAGUAGAGAUGCAAAAAAAAUAUUCUGAAAUGGUCAGUCCAAAGGUUGGAUGAGAAAACAGAAGAAAGGAAACAGGUCAACAAAACAUGAAGUACCAAUACCUAAGCAGACUACAGGACAAUUUAAAAAAAAUAAUUUUAGAAAACAAAUUGGAUAAUUUUUUUUUAACAGGGGAAAGCAAAAGUGAAUCCAUAGCUUUAUAAAAAAAACUUCCACAAGAAAUAUAUUUAGUAUCCGACACCAAAACAAUAUGGAAAGGAGGUUUAAGAGGUCAACAGACAUACAAUGGAGAAAGGCUGCAAGUAACUUUAAAUGAUCUUUUAAACAAGAAGCUUAUGAUAAGGAACAUAUCAUGUCAGUAUCUAAUAGUCAAUAACAAAGGUCAAACCAGUUUGUAGAUUUGUGUAUUUUUCAUGCAUUAGUGUUUAUUAAAGAAAAAAAACAACAUGGUAAAAAGGAAUGUACUUAGUUAUCACUAGUUUCAAUGCUGCUAUGAAAUGAACUGAUUUCUAAAAAUACAGCUGAAUAUAAUUGAACAAAUAGUUCAAACUAAUACAUAAUACAUGGUAAGUUCAUUAAAUUAUGAGAUGACGUUAUUUUGACAAAAAAACAAAUGCUUCUUAAGAAAAAUUCAUAAUACAAGUAAUAAAU